UGGUGGAGUCUGUUCGUGCCAUUUCGGGGGUGCAGAAGACGGGGGACCCCAACGCGUCAUCACAGGGGCUAUCAUGGCAUCCCGCUCCUUCCAAGCCUUUAACAGGAUUACAUGGUAUAUGCGGGUUUCCUUACGUCUCCCCGGUAGCCGUACUUUGUAAUCCACGGGACCCAGCCUCCAGGUCACUUCAAACGGUCCCUGAUAUUCGGCUAACAGUUUGGAUUCCACGGAGGGGAGCAAGAGCAGUACCCUAUCGCCAGGCCGAAAGGUCCGGGCCUUCGCCCCUUUGUUAUAUUGUCGGGCCUGCUCCCCCUGGACUUUCUGUAGGUUUUCUAGGGCUAAUCGGCCUAGUUCUUCCAUCGACCCAUGAGUCCAUUGGUUCAGAAGGCAGCUGUGACAUUGACAAGAGCGGCUGAAGGAAGCGAUGCAGUGGCCGUAAGUGGAGCGCUGCUCAGCUAUCUCUUUGGGCCACAUAUGCCGCCCACGGGGCGUUACCUGGGCUGUAAGGGCCAGGAAGCAGGGCAGCCCCAGACCCCAGAGCUUGUGGGGCCGGGUGGUAGCUGCAGGCCCCCUGCUGCACUGGGCAGCCAGGAAUUCAGGAGAAAAAA